AACACAGAGAUUUGAAGAUAGUUUGUGAAAAGGAUAGGAGGAGGCAACAAAAAGAAGAGAAGAAAUGAAAGUGCAGAGAAAGGGAAGAACAAAACUAACAUCAUAUUUUUGGAAAGAGAGAGAAAUAUUUUGAGAAAAAAUAAAAAUAAAAAUAAAAAUAAUAAAUUUGGUUAAUAACCCAACUCCCCAUUAACAAACACAUCCCAUAAUAUCCUCCCCACUAACCACAUCCAACUACUUCAGUCUGCCAACUCCACCGAACCUCUAACUGACAAUCGAAACAAAAAUUAACACCCAUACUCGUGCAAAGAUUUGAACACAACACCUCCAACAAGCUAACUCCUUACCACCCAAACCAACAAAUUUAUUCU
rnacentral:lncRNA from 1 species